rnacentral:misc_RNA from 1 species
UAAGUCGUAACAAGGUAACCCUAGGGGAACCUGGGGUUGGAUCACCUCCUUACCUUAAGAUGUCGUGUUGUUGAGUGUUCACACAGAUUGCCUUGAUUCAAAGUAGUUAGAGCAAAGACCUGAUGCGAAAGCGUCAGUGCUUGUUUGGCUAACGCCAAACGAGAGAAGCCCGUUCGUUGGGUUGGGAUGUGAAUGGCGGCGCAAGUUGCUACCCAAUUCAGAGUUAGCGAUAACAACGGACAGCGCUAAAGGCCGCUAGCCUCGCAGGCUCGGCGUCGCCUUUACGAAAAUCAUUGCGAAGUUUACUUCGCAAAACAUGAUUUUCGUCCCCUUCGUCUAGAGGCCUAGGACACCGCCCUUUCACGGCGGUAGCAGGGGUUCGAAUCCCCUAGGGGACGCCACUUCUCUUCGCAUCUUAAGAAUGCAGAGUUAAGAAACUGAUUCUUAACUCUGUUUCCUUCGGUCACUGACCGUUGCAAACAUGCUCUUUAACAAUCUGGAAAGCUGAUUUAAAAGGUAGUUCUCAAACAUUUGUUACAAGUGCUUUGGAAACUUCUUGGCGAAAACCAAAUUUUAUUUGGUCCUUGUUGUACGACAACAAGUCGCGUCGGUUUCACCGACACUUCUUGGGGUUGUAUGGUUAAGUGACUAAGCGUACAUGGUGGAUGCCUUGGCAGUCAGAGGCGAUGAAGGACGUACUAACCUGCGAUAAGCUGUGAGAAGUCGGUAAGAGACGCUAUUACUCACAGAUUUCCGAAUGGGGAAACCCACCCGAGAUAACUCGGGUAUCUGUUACUGAAUACAUAGGUAACAGAGGCGAACCGGGAGAACUGAAACAUCUAAGUACCAA